rnacentral:rRNA from 1 species
UACGUAGGGGGCAAGCGUUGUCCGGAUUUAUUGGGCGUAAAGCGCGUGUAGGCGGCCAGGCAGGUCCGUUGUGAAAACUGGAGGCUCAACCUCCAGCUGUCGAUGGAAACCGCUUGGCUAGAGUCCGGAAGAGGAGAGUGGAAUUCCUGGUGUAGCGGUGAAAUGCGCAGAUAUCAGGAAGAACACCGAUGGCGAAGGCAGCUCUCUGGGACGGUACUGACGCUGAGACGCGAAAGCGUGGGGAGCGAACAGGAUUAGAAACCCUCGUAGUCC